UUCAUAAAUAAUUAGGUAAAAUGUAAGUGAUUAAAAUGCAAGAAUUAGUUUGCGGUUAAUGCAUUGCUUCUUUGCUUGAAGCUGCACCAAGACUAGACUCAGUAGACUGUAACUGCAAACUUGGACUUUCUGCCAUCGUAUACCCACAAAAAAUAAGACAAACAAACAAAGAAAAAACACAGAAAGAAAGACAAGAUCUGACGACCUUGAGAGUGAGUUCAAGAUCCCUAGCGUUUCCGGUCGUCAACCGGAAACAAAUAUCUGAAACAUUCAAGUGACGCGGUGCUCGUGGUUAAACAUACAUUGGCCUAGUCUUGCGGUAAUCUGUCCAGAUUGAUUCGGACAGGACAGCUCCGCAUUUGUUGCUUCAGAAGGCGCAACUGGGAAUUCCAGACUGAUGUCAUCUCUAGUAGGAAACUCUCUAGAGGAUUUUUCCCGUGAAAAAAAAGACAUAUAUUGGAAAGCAUUUCCCGUGUCCAGACAUAUAGUACUAAUGUCACUCUGUAGCCCAGUAGGGCUAUAUUCUAACUAUUUAUUCCUGCUUUUACGUCAGAGUAGGACCCACUCCAUAUCCUGCUGAUCAAUCUAUAGACAUCUGACAUUAAAGUCCUCGAUAAGCAUCAUCUGUUGAGCCAAGUGUAACCGUUAUUCAGAAAACAUUCAAGUAAACAGAAGUGCCCUGGACCUGGUCCCGGGCCAACUCGGCCUAGCCGUAAGCUCCUCCCAGUGGUCUGGAAUCGCUCUGCCUCAAGAUGGCAGUCGGUAUCCUCUCUGCUUUGAGCGCGGAUCUCUGUUCGAAGGCUAGGCGGGCGUGAAGACCAUGAAUUUCGUAUCUUUGGCUAUGGCGAUAGUGUGUCUCCUCCAGGGUAUGUGGGCCUGGCCAUCUCCUCUGGCGGACCCAGGGCCAGCCGUGCUGUUCGGCGACUUCGGGGGCCCUCUGUCGGCGGGGCGCAGAAACACCUACAGACACCUGGGAUACGGAGCGUCGGCGGCGGACGACGUAGGGUUACGUUACUACGGAUCUCGGAAGCAUAUCUGGUAGAAGAAGAAGACGACACUCGCUCGCUCGCUCGGGCUAGCUCGGGCUAGACCUAUAGUACUAGUACUAUUUAUUUGAUUUGAUUGUUGUCUUAUCAUUGAUUUGCAUUAUUUUUGAUGUUGUAUCUUCAAAGAAGAUAACUCGCGCGUUUUUUUAUUUAUAAUUGUGAAAGUUCCUAUUCGUCUGUUGUUACUGUCUUUCAAUAAAUCGUUGUUAUAGA